UAAUGCACAAAUGACAUUUAUGAGUCUCCAGAGAGAGAGAGAGAGAGAGAGAGAGAGAGAGAAUAAUAGCCAGACACCCUUUUCUGGCUCAUCAAGGAGAACAAUCUCAGAGAAGGCAAACAGCGAGCACCCCACCCACCAUGUUUAACAAUCUGAUUUUCUAAAUGCAAAGUGGAAACAGUGAUCUCCCUACAAUGAAUCUAGCGAGGGGACGCUUUUCUAGUGUCCUAUCUCAUUUCCAUCUUCCAGACUCCCCCCAAAUCUCAAACCAAUGCUCAUCAUCCCAGCUCAGUGCCCUGCAAUACACUCACGGGUACGAAGGACACACUCCUUUUCCGGAGACAGGUGAGUGCUGAGCUCAAACAGGUGUCUAUGUUCUCAAAAACUAUAGCCCACCCGAAGCUCAAACCAUGUUUUAGUAAAGGCCUCUUUUAUUGGGUUUGAAGUAUGAGAUAUGAUGGUAUUUCUCUUAAAGUCAGUAAGUCUGCACAGGCUACCUUUUUACUACAGAUUAGAAACUUAAGCAAUUAGAUGAUAUUAGUGUACAUACAAAAACUGAGGAAGCUUCUGCUCUAUUUGGUGCUGACUACAUUUUCUAUCGGAAGCUACUGGACAAGCAAGUCAAAAGAAAAAUAUAAACUAUCUCAUUUACAGGAAUCAAAAUUAAAUAUAUUGCUUUUGUUACUUCUUUUUCUUCAACACAGCAAAGAGGGUGUUUGGUAGACUGGCUAUUUAUAAUUCCUUACCAAAAUCUUAACACUCUCAGUUGAAUGUUUUUGGAGAACACCUGUACAACACAAACUUUAGUAUUAUUAAUAAUUCGAUGACUCCUUCUAAGAAUUCAGUUGCACUGUAGGGAGAUCACUGUUUCCACUUCUGCACUUUCUCCAGAGUAAAGAAAUACGAAUUUAGUCAGAAGCAUAGUGUUGUUCCUCCCUUCUAGUGCAGGGAAAUCCGUCUACAUAAAUUCAUGUUUUAUGUGGGCAUUAUUCAUAUUCAAUAGCUUGGUUAACUUUCCUAACAGAACUUUCUUAAUAUUUGAUAACGGUGUAACAAGGUUUACAGAAACAAUGGCCUGCUGAUGUUUACAAAUAUUAAUUCAUGUUUGGUAUUUUAUGCAUUUAAAUGCUUUUACUUAAUGUCACCUGCCCUAAGAGUGAGUCAAAUCUGUUUUCACAUUUUAACUAUAGUUCUUAUCAUCUGUUUAAAUUUUGUGUGGUCAUAGCAUUCUCAUUGCAAUACGACUAGAACGACCUAACAGUGUUUUCGCUAGUAGUGGUUUUGCUAUUUUUAAUAUUAAGCGGGGAUUUGAUUGGCAAUACCACAGGGUGAUAAAUUGAGGCAGUCAUACGGAACGACCUACGUGGAACAAUAAUGCUAGUUCCAGAAGCAACAUAAUAAUAAUUAAUAAUAAUAAUAAUAAUAAUAAACCCAGUGAAUAUGAUCUCCUCUUAAUUACGGUCGUUAACCUUCAUUGAAGCUUCCUCCUUUUCUCCCGUUCUUUCUGUCGACUUGAACUAUUUCUAUUUACGGAGCCCCCAAUCGAAGGACCCAACAGUCCUUAAGCGCAACUUCCGGUCGUUAAUACUCGCUUCCUCUUCCUGGUCUCUCGGGAAAAGAAAGCGAAAGAGAAACCCAGGUGGUUCUGGAUGGCGAUUCCCAGGGACUCCGGGUCCAGGGAGGCCCCGUACACUUCCCAGGUCAUGCCCUGCUCAUCCCACACCACGUCCCUGACGCGCUUGGACUGCUUCAGCUGCAGCUUGGAGUCGGGGCCGAGCUGCUUCUUCUUCUCUCCCGGGGUGAGCCCCACCUGCGCGGCGGCCGCCGUCACGUUGAGCUUUUGCUCCCUGAGGAACUCGCUGACGCGGCUGGCGCGGCGCGGGCUGGCUUUGGCCAAGCGAGAAGGGGUCCUCUUGCCGGAACCCGGACUGGAGUCGCCCACGGCGGCGUCACACGGCAGGCUCAGGCUGGCGGCCGCCUUGGGCGCUCGGCUUUCUUCCGACGCCGCCUCCUGGCUGCGCCUCACGGGGGACGGCGUAGCACCGGCGGCGGGCGCGGGGCCUCCACCUUCCCGAGACUUCGGGGUGAGCAGCAGCGUCUCGGCGUCCGCCCGGGCCCCGCCGUCCAGGCUCUCGGUGCCCCGACGCGCCGGCCGCUUUCCUGCCUGAGGAGAGGCGCGCUGCCCGUCCCCCGCGGCGCCCCAGCUCUCGGCCCUGGCAGGGCCGCCGGACGCCCGGAGCUGGCGGUGUGCGUCUGUUCUGUGGCCAUCCGCGCUGUUCACCGCCAGCUCGGCCGGCUCGGAUUCAGAGCCCCCCAGUCGGUGGCCUGUCGCCGUGUGACUUCCUGCGCUGACAGAAAUCUGGUCGCUGGCGCUGGCUUUUGGGGAGCCAGACUUCACACUCGAGAGCCGUUUGGAGGUGGGCGCCUCCCUGCUUGGGGUCAUUCCUGCUGACCUCCCCGCUUCCUUACACGUACUCUGAGCAUCGCCCGCUGCCGCCGCGGUCGGUGACACGGUAAGGACCUCCCCCGGUAGCCUCACCGAGUUACCUUCUCCUUGGAAAGCCGUGGAAACGGCAGUAGGCGCCUGGCCGUGCGCCUCCGGUGUGAUGCCUGGACACUGACCUGGCUCCUGGGGGCCCAGGAGGUCGUCAGACACCUCCACGGUGCGGCUCCCACUGCCACCCCCAUGGCAGACGACACGAAGCUGCUCCUGUGGUUCCAAACGCUCAGGAACGGGCAUUUCCUUUAAGAAUGCUGUGAGGAUGCUGGGGCUGGUGGACACGGACCUGCUCUCGACACUUGCCACCGCCUGCACCUCGGCGUCUUGCUGAGCCCUGCUGGGAACUUCCCUGACCUCACCUGCAGCUUGGUUGGUCAUUGUACUCGCUUCUUUGAACCGUAACACCUGGUGCUGCGCUGGCAGUGGCACCUUUCCCAGGUCCGGAGGAAACGUGGAGCCUUGACUAGUGAGGUGGGAUAGUUGAGUUGUCACGGGAGUCACACUCUGGCUGUCCGAGGUGGUGGCAGGGGGCUGUUUGUUCCCAGAGCAUCCAUCUUCUCUUGCUGGAGGUUCACAGGACCUUGUCCGGGGGUCACACAUAGCUCCUGGCCUUUCCCCUUCAGGUCCGCCUACGGGAGAGGAGGUGUGAAUGAACGCCCUGGCUGCCAUAUUUGCAGUUUGUACCGUUUCCUGGAUUGUUUCUGGAGAAGGAGAAUCACAGGGCACUUGAGCUUCGCUGUUGCCCCGGGUGCUGCCCGCCGGACAGCUUGACGUUUCAGCUUGCUCUCCUUCUGAGGAAGUUCUCAGUGUUUUCAGCAGUGUAUCUUCAGGUCCUGAUGAGGGGCUGGCCUUGAGCUGGGCACCUGGGAUGGCCUGGUAGGCAUGCUGACUGGCUGGCAUGGUCAAUGCUUCGUCUAGAUCCUUUCCUGCUGUAGAACACGGGGCUGGCGCUGUGGGCUCGCAGCUUCCUGGCAGCUGGGUAUGGCCAGGAGAGUUGCACGCGGAAGACACUUUUUCCACCUCAUUGAAGAUACCAGGAGAAGACAUGUCCGGCUGGGUGGUCUCAUGCUCACAGGCCUGCAUCAGGGCCUCAGCAGCUGCCCUGGGGCUGAGGACUGGCUCUUCAGGAGGCCCAGAGAGGCCAUUGGUGUUCUUACACAGGAGGGCUGGUGGAGCCCGAGGUGAGGCAGGCUGCACUUCUAGAUCCUCCUCUUUUCCAGAAGCUGUGAUCAAGGAAGUUUUAGCCGAUCUCAAAGGGUCAGAUACUUAGAAUGAGACAUGUUACGUCUUAAUGGAGGGAGUGUGAUGAGUUGAAGACAGAAAAUGAGACAUGGAGAGACUGAAAGGUGGGAAAAGACUAGAUUCUGAAAAGUAUAUCUGAAUUUUAAUGUAUAUUCAGCUUAUUUUCUCCUCCAAACCAGCUCUUACAAGUAACUUCAUCACUCAUAUUGAUGGGUUGAAUAUUUUCCCAUCCUUGGUCUGUCUUGACUACUCUCUGCUCACUCAAAUCCUUUCCAUGUCUUCCUUAUUGGAGAUUUCUGUUGCAGUGGCUGGGCCCCAACCCCCUCUUACCUUCUCUCCUCUUCUCACCUGCCUUUAUUGUGCCUUUCCUCCCACUCUCUGCUAUCCUCCUUAGAAAGCCUACCUGUUCUUCAAGGCUCCACUUAAAUCUCAUUUUCUUUCUGAAGGCCUCUGAUGCUUUCAAGUCAUAAAGUCUCCUUUUAAAAUCAUACAGCUAUAGUUAUCUGGGUCCUUCUUAUGCACUGUUUUUGUACCGUUGUACUUGUAUAAAUGUUGUAUUUCUCCAAAGGUACUUCAAGUUCCAGGAGGGAAGAAGACAAGCUUAUUGAUUCUUUUCUGUUCACUCCACAGGAGACAGUGCCAAGUCUUGUGCAUAAAAAGGUGUUAAUUGAUCCCAUUUCCCUCCAAAAUGGCCAUUAUUAAAGCCCUGCCAAACUUCAAAAUAAUAGGAAAUUUCAACCCAUGAUGUAUUAAUCAAAACGUAAUUUAAAAAAAGAGUGCUAUUUUUGAAAGAAAAUGGUUGUAUCUUAUUUAUGAAACUUUAUCUGUAAUUCCAUGUUAGACAAUUAAAAACAAGUCCAGUGGACAUCUGCUACAAAAGCUGGAAGGUUUCAUAAAGCCAGAAGGACAGAACAUCGCCUAUGUUAUAUAGCGGGAGCAAAGAAACCUGGUUUGCCAAAGAUAACUGAAAUAUAAACAGCUCAAGGUUCAGCAACUGAAGUUCGAAGACUCAGAAAAACAUGAUGGAUUUCAGAAAAACUCUCAGAAUUCACUACAUUAACUUCCAUUUUUUACAGAUAGCUAGCUGCUGAUACUAGCUUAACUGUGAAAGGGUGUUUUGUUUAUUUAUUAAUAGAGGUAUAAAACUAUUCAUCAACUUAAGAAUCAAAAAGAAAUACCAGAUUGCUCGGCUAAUACCUGUAAUUCGAAAUCUCUUGAUUCAUGGGGAGAUAAGACAUCAACACUUCUCUCAAACAUGUCUGCUAAAGUAAUUGUCACAGCAUCUUCAUGCACCCAGAAAAAAACCAUCUCCCCUUUCCAACCAAAAGCAGAAAUCUAUAGUCUCUAAUAGGUUAGACAAAUAGGACAUUUUAAAAGUGUAAUUACUUGGUGGCUUAGAGUGAGGAGUACAUAUCUUUUAAACCAAGCUGAGUCCAUUAAGGUAAGAUUUAAUAACCUCUAAAAAUGAAAUUACAAACAGGUAGCCUGCGGCUGAAUGAAUCUCUGCUGCAGGUGUGUAUGUGUGUGUGUGAGAGAGCGAGAGAACGCAAAUGCACAUGGUACAAGGGCAGGAGGCAGGGUGUAUAUACUGCAUGGUUUCCCCUUUUCUUCCCUUUCUUCCCACCUCCGGUCUCUUUUCCCCUCUCUCCUUCCCUUCCCUCCCC